GGGCGACCGCUGGGGCCACGCCCCCGCCACGCCCCUUAAAGGCCCCGCAGUCUUGGGUAACCGGACCCUACAUCCCGCGUGGGCUGCCGACUGAGGACCCAGAGUGCUCCGCAAUUUCCGGAGUUCUGGAGAUUGAACAUUGGAGGCCCAUGCAUUCUAGACUCCAGGCAACUCCCAUCUGUACCCCGGACUUACAACAACGCUGCCUUGGGGAUCCCAGAUGUCCCGGAUUGUGUCAUCUGCCCCGAACCUGCCCCGCUCACACAACCUGAUCCACUGAAACGUUACCGCUAUC